rnacentral:rRNA from 1 species
UGCAGCAACGCCGCGUGAGGGACGACGGCCUUCGGGUUGUAAACCUCUUUUAGUAGGGAAGAAGCGAAAGUGACGGUACCUGCAGAAAAAGCACCGGCUAACUACGUGCCAGCAGCCGCGGUAAUACGUAGGGUGCAAGCGUUAUCCGGAAUUAUUGGGCGUAAAGAGCUCGUAGGCGGUCUGUCGCGUCUGCUGUGAAAACCCGAGGCUCAACCUCGGGCCUGCAGUGGGUACGGGCAGACUAGAGUGCGGUAGGGGAGAUUGGAAUUCCUGGUGUAGCGGUGGAAUGCGCAGAUUUCAGGAGGAACACCGAUGGCGAAGGCAGAUCUCUGGGCCGUAACUGACGCUGAGGAGCGAAAGCGUGGGGAGCGAACAGGAUUAGAUACCCUGGUAGUCCACGCCGUAAACGUUGGGCGCUAGAUGUGGGGACCAUUCCACGGUUUCCGUGUCGCAGCUAACGCAUUAAGCGCCCCGCCUGGGGAGUACGGCCGCAAGGCUAAAACUCAAAGGAAUUGACGGGGGCCCGCACAAGCGGCGGAGCAUGCGGAUUAAUUCGAUGCAACGCGAAGAACCUUACCAAGGCUUGACAUAUACGAGAACGGGCUAGAAAUAGUCAACUCUUUGGA